CCUACGGGAGGCAGCAGUAGGGAAUCUUUCACAAUGGGCGAAAGCCUGAUGGAGCAACGCCGCGUGCAGGAUGAAGGCCUUCGGGUUGUAAACUGCUUUUAUAAGCGAGAAAUAUGAUGGUAACUUAUGAAUAGGGAUCGGCUAACUACGUGCCAGCAGCCGCGGUCAUACGUAGGAUCCGAGCAUUAUCCGGAGUGACUGGGUGUAAAGAGUUGCGUAGGUGGCAUAAUAAGUAGCUAGUGAAAUCUGGUGGCUCAACCAUUCAGACUAUUAGCUAAACUGUUAAGCUCGAGACCGUUAGGGGUAACUGGAAUUUCUAGUGUAGGAGUGAAAUCCGUAGAUAUUAGAAGGAACACCAAUAGCGUAGGCAGGUUGCUGGGACGGUUCUGACACUAAGGCACGAAAGCGUAGGGAGCAAACGGGAUUAGAUACCUCUGUAGUC
rnacentral:rRNA from 1 species